GUGGGGAAUAUUGGACAAUGGGGGGAACCCUGAUCCAGCCAUGCCGCGUGUGUGAAGAAGGCCUUUUGGUUGUAAAGCACUUUAAGCGAGGAGGAGGCUACCGAGAUUAAUACUCUUGGAUAGUGGACGUUACUCGCAGAAUAAGCACCGGCUAACUCUGUGCCAGCAGCCGCGGUAAUACAGAGGGUGCAAGCGUUAAUCGGAUUUACUGGGCGUAAAGCGCGCGUAGGUGGCCAAUUAAGUCAAAUGUGAAAUCACCGAGCUUAACUUGGGAAGUGCAUUCGAUACUGGUUGGCUAGAGUAUGGGAGAGGAUGGUAGAAUUCCAGGUGUAGCGGUGAAAUGCGUAGAGAUCUGGAGGAAUACCGAUGGCGAAGGCAGCCAUCUGGCCUAAUACUGACACUGAGGUGCGAAAGCAUGGGGAGCAAACAGGAUUAGAUACCCUUGUAGUCC
rnacentral:rRNA from 1 species